CUGACGGUAGUCGUAUGCUCGUCUCCGAGACUAAGCCAUGCAAGUCCAAGUACACGUCCUUGAACGACGGAAACUGCGAACGGCUCAUUAAAUCAGUUGCGAUCUACUCGGCGUUCCGCGCCGCCGGAUAACCGUAGUAAUUCUAGGGCUAAUACGUGCGAAGCGCCCGAAGCCGCGAGGCGACGGGCGUUCUCGCCGGAUGUAGGAACCGACCCGGGGACCGCCGGGGCAACCCCGGCGCCCCCGAGACGGGGCGAACCACGGUGAAAUGACGGAUCGUCGGCCCCGCGCCGGCGACUCGCCGAAUGAGUUUCUGACCUAUCAACUCGAGACGGCGGGGUAGAGGCCCGCCGCGGUAACGACGGGUAACGGGGAAUCAGGGUUCGAUUCCGGAGAGGGAGCCCGAGAAACGGCUACCACUUCCAAGGAAGGCAGCAGGCGCGCAACUUACCCUAAUCUCGAUUCGAGGAGGUAGUG
rnacentral:rRNA from 1 species